GGAAUCUUCGGCAAUGGGGGCAACCCUGACCGAGCAACGCCGCGUGAGUGAAGAAGGUUUUCGGAUCGUAAAGCUCUGUUGUAAGAGAAGAACGUGUGUGAGAGUGGAAAGUUCACACAGUGACGGUAACUUACCAGAAAGGGACGGCUAACUACGUGCCG
rnacentral:rRNA from 1 species